UACAGAGGUCUCAAGCGUUGUUCGGAUUCAUUGGGCGUAAAGGGUGCGUAGGUGGCGCUGCAAGUCGGGUGUGAAAUCUCAGAGCUCAACUCUGAAACGGCACUCGAUACUGCUUUGCUUGAGGACUGGAGAGGAGAUUGGAAUUCACGGUGUAGCAGUGAAAAUGCGUAGAUAUCGUGAGGAAGACCAGUGGCGAAGGCGGAUCUCUGGACAGUUCCUGACGCUGAGGCGCGAAGGCCAGGGGAGCAAACGGG
rnacentral:rRNA from 1 species